CUUGCACGGCUACGGAGAGCAGAGUAGUAACCAACGUGACCAUCCCUUCUUCACAGGAGCAUUGUAUGACACGGAUGUAAACUGCGGGUGAGAGAGAAAUCUUUCGCGUGCAUAUCAUGUGGGUAGAGAUUGCUCGCCGCGGCUCAGGUCUGCUUGAGUUGAGAAAAGUCCGCACGCUGUCCUUUACAUAACCGCCCCUGCUGCUGUUUGCUGGAUCCUUCCUUAUAGCUUUUCCACAAAGUUGACGAUAAAGACCUUGCUACUACGGAAACAUGAGGAUAUUAACGUUGGUUAUUUUUCUCAUCGCAAUCGGAGUCGCCGCUCUCAUAAAGGCAUCAGGCGCUGUGGUGACGAACAACCCGGAGUGUAAGACGGACACUGACUGCGCUGCUAAUUACUGCUGCACGCGCCUGAACAGCUUAACCAUGGGUGUGUGCAGUCCUCUGCGCAUGUUAAAUCAGUUCUGCUCCCUGAAACGCGAUAUGCCGUGGAUGUGUCCCUGUGUGAUCUCAACCAGCUGCCAACCCAUCAACGCUCACGCGCACGAGGACGCCAUAUUUGGAAGCAGAGGCGCAUACGGUCGCUGCAUGUAACGCUUGUACAAAACUUGCUCUGAAUUCAGUUCCAACGUAAUUGCGUUAAAAAACAUUUCAGUGCAGUAGUGUGGAAAAAUAACACUGUUAAAUGUUGGAGUGACGAAAAGACCAGGAAUCGUCUAAUAAGCCGCGGACCACAAAGAUGAAUUAGUUAAUUAAAUGCCAACUAUAUAAUCAAUUAUUCGAAUUUAUAUCAAAAGAUCAUAAUUAUAUAUAUAUAUAUAUAUAUAUAUAUAUAUAGUAGAGAGAGAGAGAGAGAGAGAGAUUAUACCUAUAGAUUGUAUCUAUGAUUGUACCUAUAUAGAUUAUAUCGCUACAAACCGCAAGCGAUAAAGCGCACAGCGUUCCAUGUGUAUUGCUCCCCGUUAUUUGUAUUGCUAUUGCUAUGUAAUUAUGAGUAUUAGGUCGGGUAUGUCUGAAUUUCGAUUUCUUUAUUAGAUUCUAUACGUUCCGCGAUUCGACUAUUCAGCUCAUAUCUACGUGCCUGCUUCCUAUCUUGGUUGUGUAAUGAAUUUUUAUCACACUGUGUUCUUUUAAUGUGUAAUUAGGUACUUAGAAUCAUAUAUAGCGCAUUGGAUAAGAAAAAUACGAAAAUUGCAAGAGAUAAAACUCAUUUAGAUUUGAUAACCGUGAGCUUCUGUAAUCCUUUUACAUUGGCAAGAUCAUGGAAGACUGGUAUUCUUUGAAUCCAUGUUUUAUGAUCAUAGGUCGUGGUGUUUGACCAUUUGCGCAAGCAGUAUUAAAAAUAAACAAUUGCAUAGAGCAAGAUUACCUAAAUAAAGUGCAAUAAGCAUACACUCAGGGCUAAAUUAUGCGAAAAUGCAUUGAUUUUUUUAUUUUCAUUCGUAUUCGAUGGCUAACACUACGUGCCACCUCUGCACAUUUUUAUGUUACUUCAUCUAUAGAACGAUGCAUGUGAACGAACAAAUUUUCAAAGCGUUGUGAAUGCCCGCGUACGUGUCUAUAGUGUGCCGUAGCCAUUUAAACACACAUAUACUGAUGACGCCAGAGACAUGAUCAAACUAGCCUAUUCAUGGUAAAAUCUUUCAGCAUCAGGCUUUCCUACAGCCGUCCACUGUCAGUGCUAGUCAAAAUUGCCGCGCGGUCGAAAGUAGCAUUUACGCCCCGUUACAUAGCCCGGGUACAUUAGUGACCUCAUGCAGUACGCAGCGUUCGCGCGUUUCUAUUAAAAAAUGCGAGGGUAACCGCGGAAUUUCUCACAAUUUCUCAAGGUGCUGAGAACAUUUUACCAAUUUAGUGGUUUCAGUUAGUCAUGAAUAUAUCGCAGUGAGUACUAACAGUAGAUGCUUCGAUCACUUACGUUCACCCAUUCUGGACAGGCGGUCGAUCACUGUAAAAAGUAGAAAUGCGCUAAUUUCUCCGUUUUGAUUUCUGCCACACCAGCCGAUGUGUAAAUGGAUAUUUCUAUAUCGUUACAACAAUAAUUUUUAUUUCACACUCGUUUUAAUUGUAACACAUUGCUGUAAAAAAGCGCGUCAGGGUUUGGUAUUUUACUUGCACAAAUUUUCAAUCCAUAUUAUCAAUAUAAUCAAAAUCUGUAUUAAGCAGUUUUUAUAAUUUUAAAGGUAAUAUAAAACUUAAAGCGAAGAUUUAUCAUAUUAAUUAUUACUAACCGUUUUCAUAUAUUUUCUCAACCGUUCUGAUACUUACCGGUAGGUACUCCUUGACCCUUGCAUAAAGCCAAAUCUAUAUUAUUAAGGCUAACAUGUCAUAGAACACUCGCACACCAUUCUUUCUAUACCAAUAUAGGCACCGAUCUGCAUUUCAAAUGCGAUUGUUUACAUAUAUCAUAUCAUUAAACCUAGAGCGCGUCACGUAACCGCGCCUGCUGUGUCCACGGCGGCAACCGUCCCUUCGGCAUGGCAUGGAUUACUUCCCGUUACACGCGUAUUUCGAUUGCAUAACUAUGGCUUUUAGUCGCGUGUGGUUAAAUUUCUAUAUUUUUGCACAUAUAUAUUGUUGUGAUGUCAUGGAAGGUUGACCUUCCCGUUAUCGAUCGUGCACCACGUACGGUCGUGAUAUUUUUACAUUUUUGUAUGCAGUGUUACAUGUGUACAGUUGCAUAUAUAAGGCCGCAUUAUCCGAAUAUAGUGCUGUUUACUGCUGUUCACUCAUAAAUAUUUACUGUUCACGAUAUAAGAUAUAAGAUAUAAUAGUUUAUUUUAUCACUUUCAAUAUCAGCAGAUGCACGAAUUUUUUUCACAAAAUGUAAAUAAUUAACGUACAGUGAAGAGAUGGCGAAAAGACCAUACGGUCAUCUAGUCAGCCAACCCAUAGAGAAAUUAUUUAAGUAUACAGGCAUCUGUCAUAAGAAUAAGAUGUAUGAUGAGAAAUAUUUGAACAAAAUGUUUGUAUGAUAAUAAUAUAAAGAAACAAAAUUGAACAUAAUUGGCAAUAGAACAAGCGACAGACAUGAAGUUAUGUACAAAAUAUAUAUGUUAGACACAUAUAAAUGAAAUACAUGCAGUAAUCAGUACAGUACUGACUGUACAGUAAACGAAUAUUUACAUGGUAAUAAAGAAUAUGCGGCAUA
rnacentral:lncRNA from 1 species